CGGUUGGUUGAUACUCGAUCUAAUUGCUAUAUAUGACCAUGAGACCGAUAGCAAAGAAUGUACCGUGAGGGAAAGGUGAAAAGAACUUUGAAGAGAGAGUUAAAAAGUACGUGAAACCGUUCAGGGGUAAACCUGAGAAACUCAAAAUUUCGAAAACGGGGAAGAUUCAUCGUCAAACGCCUCGGUAUCCGUGCGACGCGCGAUGCUCGGGACUUCGGUUCCGAGUCACGCCGUUGCUGCGCGAUAAUCCCGGGGCGGUCGGCGUGCACUUCUUCCCCAGUAGAACGUCGCGACCCGUUGAGUGCUCGUCAAAGGCGCCGGGAUGGUCGACUGUCGCGCGGAUCGCAAGAUCUCAGCGCGGCAGACCGCUUGGACCGCCCGACGAGCUGCUCGACGGUAGUCUCUUAAGCACAAGGCACUGAGCCGCAGCUUCGAAUGCGUUCAGGCGCUCCGGCAGGUGAGGGCCAUCCGGGUUGCGGACUCUGCGCCGCUUCUCGGAUCGCGUUCUCGCCGGCCGCCGGGGCUGUUCUCGAACCGGCUCUCUCAUUGCCCGUCGGCGACGCUACUGCUUUGGGUACUUUCAGGACCCGUCUUGAAA
rnacentral:rRNA from 1 species